AGCAGCCGCGGUAAUUCCAGCUCCAAUAGCGUAUAUUAAAGUUGUUGCAGUUAAAAAGCUCGUAGUUGAAUUUCGGGGUUAGUAGGUUGGUCAUGCCUCUGGUAUGUACUGGUCUCACUGAUUCCUCCUUCCUGAUGAGCCGUAAUGCCAUUAAUUUGGUGUUGCGGGGAAUUUGGACUGUUACUUUGAAAAAUUAGAGUGUUUAAAGCAAGCUAACGCUUGAAUACAUUAGCAUGGAAUAAUGAAAUAGGACGUUCGAUCCUAUUUUGUUGGUUUCUAGGAUUGACGUAAUGAUUAAUAGGGAUAGUUGGGGGCAUUAGUAUUCAAUUGUCAGAGGUGAAAUUCUUGGAUUUAUUGAAGACUAACUACUGCGAAAGCAUUUGCCAAGGAUGUUUUCAUUAAUCAAGAACGAAAGUUAGGGGAUCGAAGACGAUCAGAUACCGUCGUAGUCUUAACCAUAAACUAUGCCGACUAGGGAUCGGAUGAUGUUAAUUUUUUAAUGACUCAUUCGGCGCCUUAC
rnacentral:sRNA from 1 species